GCGUAAUAGAAAAAAAGCACUUAUUCAAUUCCUUCCCGUACGAACUAAAAAGAAAGGUUUUUUUCUUCUUCGUUGUGUUCAAGAGCAAAAUUCAGAAUCCAAAGCCCUAAUUUCAGCCAACUGCAUCCAAUUAUCCAGCUGAUUCAUCGAUAUCAGUUAUGGCGGAUGCUUAUUGGAGGUACGGCGAGGGUAGGCAGCAGCCAGCUGCGCUUCCCCCUCACGUGGUUAAACGACCCCGUACUGAUUCUGAUUUGCCUAGUGGACCUGACAUGUCAGGCUACUAUGGCCGUGACGAGGAUAGGGCUGGACUGCGUGUUAUUAGAGAUACGGACACCAUGAAUGCAACAUAUGAUCGCUACCUCCGCAGUGUGCAAAUGCCGUCAUACGCCAGUGAGUCUGGACGGUCUAUGAGCAGUGGACUCGGAGGACGUCAUCAUGUUGAUGAUCCACGUGCGUUAGGAAUUGUAGGGUCAAACCCCGCAGCAGCAGCCGCAGCUGCAGCUGCAAAAAACCAAUCUUUGGGAGUUGGAGGGCGGCCUGAAAUUCCUCUUCCUCCUGAUGCUAGCAGCACCUUGUUUGUGGAGGGCUUGCCUGCGAAUUGCACUCGCAGGGAAGUUUCCCAUAUAUUUCGUCCAUUUGUAGGCUACAAGGAAGUAAGGCUAGUAACUAAAGAAUCAAGACAUUCUGGUGGUGAUCCUCUGGUGCUUUGCUUUGUUGAUUUUCAGAGCCCGGCUCAUGCAGCCACUGCAAUGGAUGCUAUACAAGGCACAACCCUGACUCAAGUAAGCAUAUGCACUUUGAUACACACCAAGUGAACUUUCCACUCAAAGAAUCCCCAACAACUCAUAGACGACACAUUGUUCGCCUGCAAAUCAUAGACGACACAUUGUUCGCCGGUUUUGAGUCGGAACCGGUAUUGGACGUUUCUAUUCCAAAUCCGGAACAACAUCCACAGACCGGUUCCAAAAAUAGGCAGCAACGAGUGCAAUGCCAUGUUGGUGGAUAGUUUUAUUGCUGAGUAGCGAGGCGAGUUCAUUGGCACGGAACUGCUGCACCAGCUUCCUCAGCCGUUUUGCAGCUGCACGUGUUCAAUCAAGAUCAAGAUUGUAUCCAACGAAUUUUGACAAGGCGGGGCCAUCUUUUUUGCCUGGGUACCAUCACUGACUGCACCUCCAAAAGGCGGAAUGAUGCCUCCGUGCUGCGAAUGCACGUGCGGACAGUGCGGAAACCUUCAGAAGGUGCACAGCAGCAGCUGACAAGAUGGUUUUGACUGGCACGGUCAGGUGCUAGAAGAGCAUUAUACAUCAUUGAUCAGAGCCAAUGGUGGAUUGGGUUGCUUGGAGUUGUAGUGAAAUUAAAAUCAAGAUUCGGAAAGUGUGUGUUUUCUUUGUUUUUGGAAAUAUAUGUUUUCAUGAUGCAAUGUUGUGCUUUGUAAUGACUUCUUGGCGCCGGAAACAUAAAAUACGUUGACUAAAAUUCACAAAAUACGAAUGUGAAGAAAUUGAAUUUGCAUUUAUUCUCUUUUGAAUAUCAAAAGAAACUUGUA